CUUUGUCCCAUUGUGACUGGACCUUUUUUUUUUUCUUUCUCUUUUUAGGGUGUCCCAGGAAAUACACUGCUGUGUUCUUUUGAAAUAAAUGAUGCUAACAUCUCAUUUUUGUGUGGUGAUUGACAGUGUUUAAGGCAGAUGUGUUUCCACGGUUGAAAUUUAUCCUUCAACCAGCUGUUUGAGGUAAGUAUGGUAUGGUCUUUAUUUGAGAGAUGGGGAAACUGAGGCCCCGAGAGCAAUGUCCUAGGCCAGUGUUGUAUCAGUGAGUAAUUAUUGACUGAGACCAAUCAGGACUUCUUCCCACAUCAUGCUGUGGUGUUCGUCUAUCCUCCUUUCUCAAAGAUGCUGCUCUCCUUGACAAAAUUAGUUAAUUAAUCCGGUCCUUUAUGCAUAUAGAGUGUCUGCUACAUGCCAUGUAUUAGUAAAGCAUCAAAUACAACAUGCAACCACCCUGUCCUCGUGGUACUGAAAUCCUGAGAGGUGAUUGGUACAUGCAUGUGAAAUUUCAGGUGCAGGUAAGAACACUGGCGAAAAGUUCAGCAGGGUCGGAGGUGGGGGAGAGCCCCUGUUUUAUGCAGGGUGAGCCGAGAAAGCCUGCCAAGAAGUCGCCGUGGGAUCAGAGCCCGAGAGAAGUGAGGAAGCCCCUGGGGUGGUUCUGGGGCACAUGCCGGACGACAGCACAGACCACAGUACGUGCCCCUCAGCUCUCCAAGAUGGGCUGAAGCCAGAUGACAGAGCAUGAGACCCGAGGAGGAACGGCCUGGGGGUCGACGGCACACCAAGCAGAAGUGGACAAUAUCUGGUCCCAGCUCACGCCUUGGCUUAAUCGCAACCACAUGAGCAAACUCAGGGCUGCACAGCACAGUUGUAAUUGGAAUAGAGUGUCCUCUGGGAGACUGUUGGGGAUGAAGCUGUUCACCGCAUGAGACGACGCACUGCUGCAGAUAUAAUCCGUUUACCGACAAUCGUAACGGUGGCUAACGUUUACUGUGUGCCUAUUGUGCCCCCGGCACAGCGUUCGAUACCCUGGGAGGAUUACCUCAUUAGUUCUCAUAACACGUCGCACAGAGUUUCCACCUUGCCUGCAUCUUGGAAUGACCUGGGAAAGUUUUACUACUGCAGGCACCUGGUCCCAGAGCUACUAAUUUAACUCAUCUGAGAUGUGGUCCACUCAUAAGCUCUUUCCAUUGGGAGCCGGAUUCUCUUUUCCUGCCCUUUGAAUCUGAGGUGGCCAUGCAGCCUGCCUUAAUCAAUAGAAUCCUGCAGAAGAAAUGCUGUGCCAGUUCUGAGCCUGAGCCUUGCAGGCUUCUGCUUGCUAUCCUGGAACCCCACCAUCACCAUGUGAAUGACCCUGGUCUGCCCUCCUGGAGGAUCAUAGCUGAGGCCAUCCCAGACCAACCAACUCGGCCCACAAACUCACGAGGAAGCCUGGCUGAGAUCAGAGCCCGGGCCAGACCCACAGGACCUUUCAGUUGAUCUACAGACUUGUGGGCAAUGAUAAAUGGUGGUUAUUUUAAGCCACUAACUUUGGGUUGAUUUGUUAUGCAACAGUAGGUAGCUGAUACACUUCAAUAUAAUUUCCUAUUUCUCUUUGAGCCUAAAUCGGGUUCUCCCUUUAUCCACUCUCAUAGCACCUUAUACUUGUCAACUGUAUAAUGGAUGACAAUGCUUAUCAGAACUAAAAAUUGUGUAAAUAAUACUUUUUUCUCUCUCUGAUUAGAGUUUAAGCCCCAUGAGAUCAGAGACCACAUUUGAUUUGCUCCCUGAAAUAUUCCUACCAUCUGGCAUUAUUUUAUACACGGUAUAUGCUACACUUGAUCUUAACCAAGAGGCCGAGAAGCGAUACACAUGGUAAAUGCUAAAUAAAUACUUGUCAGAAGACAAACGCAAGGAUGAAUUCAUAUGCUCACUAAACAUGUCCUAAGUACUUUCUCCAUUUUGGGUACCAUGCAAGAUGUUAAAGAUAUCAGAAUGAAUAAGGCAUAGUCUUUGUUCUUAAGGAAAUUCACGGUUUAAAAGCUGGGACAUGAACAUGUAAAUAAAAAUUGUAGGCCACGUUAAUGAGUGUAAUUGAGGGUGUUUAGCGUGUUGAUAAGAGCAGGGUAGAUCAGUGGAUUGAAUAAAUCUGGAGAAAAGAAGUUCCUGGAAAAUGGUUUAUGGAGUAAAUAUUCGAAAUGAUGAUUCUACA